rnacentral:rRNA from 1 species
GAAUGCAGUCGAGCGGGGGAAGGUAGCUUGCUACUGGACCUAGCGGCGGACGGGUGAGUAAUGCUUAGGAAUCUGCCUAUUAGUGGGGGACAACAUCUCGAAAGGGAUGCUAAUACCGCAUACGUCCUACGGGAGAAAGCAGGGGAUCUUCGGACCUUGCGCUAAUAGAUGAGCCUAAGUCGGAUUAGCUAGUUGGUGGGGUAAAGGCCUACCAAGGCGACGAUCUGUAGCGGGUCUGAGAGGAUGAUCCGCCACACUGGGACUGAGACACGGCCCAGACUCCUACGGGAGGCAGCAGUGGGGAAUAUUGGACAAUGGGGGGAACCCUGAUCCAGCCAUGCCGCGUGUGUGAAGAAGGCCUUAUGGUUGUAAAGCACUUUAAGCGAGGAGGAGGCUACUUUAGUUAAUACCUAGAGAUAGUGGACGUUACUCGCAGAAUAAGCACCGGCUAACUCUGUGCCAGCAGCCGCGGUAAUACAGAGGGUGCGAGCGUUAAUCGGAUUUACUGGGCGUAAAGCGUGCGUAGGCGGCUUAUUAAGUCGGAUGUGAAAUCCCCGAGCUUAACUUGGGAAUUGCAUUCGAUACUGGUGAGCUAGAGUAUGGGAGAGGAUGGUAGAAUUCCAGGUGUAGCGGUGAAAUGCGUAGAGAUCUGGAGGAAUACCGAUGGCGAAGGCAGCCAUCUGGCCUAAUACUGACGCUGAGGUACGAAAGCAUGGGGAGCAAACAGGAUUAGAUACCCUGGUAGUCCAUGCCGUAAACGAUGUCUACUAGCCGUUGGGGCCUUUGAGGCUUUAGUGGCGCAGCUAACGCGAUAAGUAGACCGCCUGGGGAGUACGGUCGCAAGACUAAAACUCAAAUGAAUUGACGGGGGCCCGCACAAGCGGUGGAGCAUGUGGUUUAAUUCGAUGCAACGCGAAAACCUUACCUGGCCUUGACAUACUAGAACUUUCCAGAAUGGAUUGGCCUUCGGGAAUCUAGAUACGGCUGCAUGGCUGUCGUCAGCUCGUGUCUGAGAGUUGGG